rnacentral:rRNA from 1 species
AGUGAACGCUGGCGGUAGGCCUAACACAUGCAAGUCGAACGGCAGCACCGUAAGAGCUUGCUCUUACGGGUGGCGAGUGGCGGGCGGGGGAGGAAAACAACCGAAUCUACUUUUUCGUGGGGGAUAACGUAGGGAAACUUACGCUAAUACCGCAUACGACCUACGGGGGUAAGCAGGGGAUCUUCGGACCUUGCGCGAAUGAAUUAGCCGAUGUCGGAUUAGCUAGUUGGGGGGGUAAAGGCCCACCAAGGCGACGAUCCGUAGCUGGUCUGAGAGGAUGAUCAGCCACACUGGAACUGAGACACGGUCCAGACUCCUACGGGAGGCAGCAGUGGGGAAUAUUGGACAAUGGGCGCAAGCCUGAUCCAGCCAUACCGCGUGGGUGAAGAAGGCCUUCGGGUUGUAAAGCCCUUUUGUUGGGAAAGAAAAGCAGCAGGUUAAUACCCCGCUGUUCUGACGGUACCCAAAGAAUAAGCACCGGCUAACUUCGUG